rnacentral:rRNA from 1 species
GCGGUAAUUCCAGCUCCAAUAGCGUAUAUUAAAGUUGUUGCAGUUAAAAAGCUCGUAGUUGGAUCUCGGGUCCGGGCUCGCGGUCCACCUCGCGGUGGUUACUGCCCGUCCCGACCUACCUACCGGUUUUCCCUUGGUGCUCUUAACUGAGUGUCUCGGGUGGCCCGGAACGUUUACUUUGAAAAAAUUAGAGUGUUCAAAGCAGGCGCUUCGCCUGAAUAAUGUUGCAUGGAAUAAUGGAAUAGGACCUCGGUUCUAUUUUGUUGGUUUUCGGAACUCGAGGUAAUGAUUAAGAGGGACAGACGGGGGCAUUCGUAUGAUGGUGUUAGAGGUGAAAUUCUUGGAUCGCCGUCAGACGAACUACUGCGAAAGCAUUUGCCAAGAAUGUUUUCAUUAAUCAAGAACGAAAGUCAGAGGUUCGAAGACGAUCAGAUACCGUCCUAGUUCUGACCAUAAACGAUGCCGACUAGCGAUCCGCCGGAGUUGUUUCAAUGACCCGGCGGGCAGCUUCCGGGAAACCAAAGUCUUUGGGUUCCGGGGGAAGUAUGGUUGCAAAGCUGAAACUUAAAGGAAUUGACGGAAGGGCACCACCAGGAGUGGAGCCUGCGGCUUAAUUUGACUCAACACGGGAAAGCUUACCCGGCCCGGACACCGUAAGGAUUGACAGACUGAGAGCUCUUUCUUGAUUCGGUGGGUGGUGGUGCAUGGCCGUUCUUAGUUGGUGGAGCGAUUUGUCUGGUUAAUUCCGAUAACGAACGAGACUCUAGCCUAUUAAAUAGUUCGCCGAUUUCGAUCUGUCGGCGUUAACUUCUUAGAGGGACAAGUGGCUUUUAGCCACGCGAGAUUGAGCAAUAACAG